rnacentral:rRNA from 1 species
GUACACUCCUACGGGAGGCAGCAGUGGGGAAUUUUGGACAAUGGGCGAAAGCCUGAUCCAGCCAUGCCGCGUGCAGGAUGAAGGCCUUCGGGUUGUAAACUGCUUUUGUACGGAACGAAACGGCCUUUUCUAAUAAAGAGGGCUAAUGACGGUACCGUAAGAAUAAGCACCGGCUAACUACGUGCCAGCAGCCGCGGUAAUACGUAGGGUGCAAGCGUUAAUCGGAAUUACUGGGCGUAAAGCGUGCGCAGGCGGUUAUGUAAGACAGUUGUGAAAUCCCCGGGCUCAACCUGGGAACUGCAUCUGUGACUGCAUAGCUAGAGUACGGUAGAGGGGGAUGGAAUUCCGCGUGUAGCAGUGAAAUGCGUAGAUAUGCGGAGGAACACCGAUGGCGAAGGCAAUCCCCUGGACCUGUACUGACGCUCAUGCACGAAAGCGUGGGGAGCAAACAGGAUUAGAAACCCCUGUAGUCCCAUGAU